GGUGCGUGCGGGCCGGCGUGGGUGGUAAUGAGUAGGGGGGAUGCGGUGUGUGGAGUUAGUAGGCGUAAAGCGAGGGCAGGGUGUUGCUUAAGUCUGAUGGGAAAGUCCACGGCUCAACCGUGGAAGGUCAGUGGAAACUGGGGAACUUGAGUGCAGAAGAGGAGAGUGGAAUUCCAUGUGGAGCGGGGAAAUGCGUAGAUAUAUGGAGGAACACCAGUGGCGAAGGCGACUCUCUGGUCUGUAACUGACGCUGAGGCUCGAAAGCGUGGGGAGCAAACAGGAUUAGAUACCCCUGUAGUC
rnacentral:rRNA from 1 species